rnacentral:rRNA from 1 species
AACGAACGCUGGCGGUAUGCUUAAUACAUGCAAGUCGAACGAGAAAGUCCUUCGGGGCGAGUAUAGUGGCGCACGGGUGCGUAACACGUAGGUGACCUGCCUAUUUGUGGGGAAUAACCAGGGGAAACGCUGGCUAAUACCGCAUGUGCUGAAUGAAAUUGGAAAAAUUCAGUAAAGGGGGCUUCGGCUCUCGCAAAUAGAUGGGCCUGCGGAACAUUAGCUUGAUGGUGGGGUAAUGGCCUACCAUGGCGAUGAUGUUUAGCUGGUCUGAGAGGAUGAUCAGCCACACUGGAACUGAGACACGGUCCAG